rnacentral:rRNA from 1 species
UACGUAGGGCGCAAGCGUUGUCCGGAAUUAUUGGGCGUAAAGAGCUCGUAGGCGGCCUGUUGCGUCCGCUGUGAAAUCCCGGGGCUCAACCCCGGGCCUGCAGUGGAUACGGGCUGGCUAGAGGCAGGCAGGGGAGAACGGAAUUCCCAGUGUAGAGGUGAAAUUCGUAGAUAUUGGGAAGAACACCGGUGGCGAAGGCGGCGACCUGGUCCUUGACUGACGCUGAGGCGCGAAAGCGUGGGGAGCAAACAGG